UCAGGAGUGAACGCUGGCGGCGUGCCUAAUACAUGCAAGUCGUGCGAGGUAGCUUGCUACCUAGCGGCGAACGGGUGAGUAACACGUAGGUAACCUGCCUUAAGACUGGGAUACCCAGACGAAAGUUUGGCUAAUACCGGAUAACAACGUGGGUCGCAUGACCCGCGCUUGAAAGCUGCGUUUGCAGCACUUUUAGAUGGACCUGCGGCACAUUAGCUAGUUGGUGAGGUAACGGCCCACCAAGGCUAGGAUGUGUAGCCGACCCUGAGAGGGUGACCGGCCACAAUGGGACUGAGACACGGCCCAUACUCCUACGGGAGGCAGCAGUAGGGAGUUUUCGGCAAUGGGCGCAAGCCUGACCGAGCAACGCCGCGUGAAGUGAUGAAGGUCUUCGGAUUGUAAAGCUCUGUUGUAAGGGACGAAACACCGCGGUAGGAAAUGACCGCGGCUUGACGGUACCUUACCAGAAAGCACCGGCUAACUUCGUGCCAGCCGCGGC
rnacentral:rRNA from 1 species